rnacentral:tRNA from 1 species
GCCCGUGUUACUCGUUAGGACGAGUGCCAACUUCGUGAGUUGGAAUUAAUCAGUUCGAAUCUGAUCUCGGGCUCCA